rnacentral:rRNA from 1 species
UCGAGGAUCUUUUGCAAUGGGCGCAAGCCUGACAAAGCGACGCCGCGUGGGGGAGGAAGGCCUUCGGGUUGUAAACCCCUGUUGUCGGUUACGAAUGGUAGGGUGCCAAUAGCGCUACUACUUGACUAAGGCCGAUGAGGAAGCCACGGCUAACUACGUGCCAGCAGCCGCGGUAAUACGUAGGUGGCAAGCGUUGUUCGGAAUCACUGGGCAUAAAGCGCGCGUAGGCGGCUAUGUAAGUCGGGUGUGAAAUCCCUCGGCUCAACCGAGGAACUGCGCUCGAUACUGCAUGGCUUGAGGUCUGGAGGGGAGAGUGGAAUUCCCGGUGGAGCGGUGAAAUGCGUAGAGAUCGGGAAGAACGCCGGCGGCGAAAGCGACUCUCUGGUCAGACCCUGACGCUGAGGCGCGAAAGCUAGGGGAGCAAACGGGAUUAGAUACCCCCGUAGUCC